rnacentral:SRP_RNA from 1 species
GCUGGGUGCGGUGGUGCGCACCUGUAGUCCUAGCUACUCUGGAGGCUGAGGCCGGAGGAUCGCUUGAGUCCAGGAGUUCUGGGCUGCAGUGCGCUAUGCCGAUCGGGUGUCUGCACUAAAUUCGGCAUCAAUAUGGUGACCUCCCUGGAGCGGGGGACCACCAGGUUAACUAAGGAGGUGUGAACCGGCCCAGGUCGGAAAAAGUAGUGAGAGACAGAGAAAGCAAACAAGACAAAAUGGAUGCUAGAGGGUGGGGUCUGGGAAACAGUGGCAGGGGACCUUU